ACACCUCGCUUCGGCGGUACAUAUAUUAAAAUUGGAACGAUACAGAGAAGAUUGGCAUGGCCCCUGCGCGGUAGUGCGGAUCUAUUCUACCUGGAAAAAUGGAUUAAAUGAACUUUUUU
rnacentral:snRNA from 1 species